UCCAGACUCCUACGGGAGGCAGCAGUGGGGAAUAUUGCACAAUGAGGGGAACCCUGAUGCAGCGACGCCGUGUGGGUGAAGGAGUAUUUCGGUAUGUAAAGCCCUCUCAGCAGGGAAGAACAAUGACGGUACCUGACUAAGAAGCACCGGCUAAAUACGUGCCAGCAGCCGCGGUAAUACGUAUGGUGCAAGCGUUAUCCGGAUUUACUGGGUGUAAAGGGAGCGCAGGCGGCGCGUUAAGCCUGGUGUGAAAGCCCGCGGCCCAACCGCGGGACUGCAUUGGGAACUGGCGCGCUGGAGUGCUGGAGGGGUAGGCGGAAUUCCUAGUGUAGCGGUGAAAUGCGUAGAUAUUAGGAGGAACACCAGUGGCGAAGGCGGCUUUCUGGCUCAUAACUGACGCUGAGGCGCGAAAGCGUGGGGAGCAAACAGGAUUAGAUACCCUAGUA
rnacentral:rRNA from 1 species